GAAAAAUGGCUUCAAGUAAGCUUUUUGUUGUUUUGCAAGUCAUUUUGAUCUCUAUCAUUCUCCUCCUGGCUUUUCAGGUGGCUGCAAGAGAAUUGGUCGAGACUUCUAGUGCUUUAAAUCCUAAUCAUAAGAUGGAGAGGGAACUUGUUAACUCGGAUGAUCCUUGGGGCCACCACCCUCGCCAUGGAUGAUUUUGUCUCAAAAUUAUUAAAAGCUUAAUUUGUGCCAAAGAGGUUGGCAUGGUGGACAAGAUUUCCUGAUGUUCACGUUCGAAUCUCGCUACUGUAUUGUACUAUUUUCCCUUUUAUUGUAAAAAAAAAAGUAACAUAAUGAAAAUAAGUUGUCUGUAAAUCUGUUGAGAGAAUCUCGCUAUUGCAAGCUGCUACUGUAUUGUAUUGUUUUCUCUCGCUACUGCAAGCCGCUACUGUACUGUUACUGUUUUCUCUUUUAUUGUAAAAAAAAAAAAAGUGAAAUAAUGAAAAUAAGUUGUUUGUAAA